rnacentral:misc_RNA from 1 species
GAUCUAGGGUUUCCUCUUUUCACAGCCACUUUGGUCCCAUCUUCAAGUGUUCCCUUGUAGACCCUGCCAAAGCCACCAACCCCAAGCAGCAGGUUCUCAUCAAACUUGUUGGUUGCAUCAAGAAUUUCUUGGAAUGAGAAGAAUCUACCAAGAUUCGAGGAGGCCAAUGAAAUGAAGCUCGCUGUUCCACUCUUUUGAGAAGCUGUGGACACCUUUGUCAUGGUCUGAGAAUUUCCAUACAAGGGCAAAGGCAGCCAUGGAUGGCCCUGGUGAGUGGUCUUCGACUUGCGGACCACCAAGCAACAGUAACAGAAAACACUAAGAGCAAAUGCAGCUACAGCUCCAGCAACUGAACCAAUUAUGAUUCCUAUCUUACUUUUCUUUGAGAGUGAUUCAGGAAGAAGGCUCUCAACAGAAG